UUGCCUUUGCAUAUUCCUGAAUAAUGCUGGCAGUUUGGUUCUGAUUUUCUGGGAGACAGAUCAAAGUUGUGUGGCCUGCAAAUUGUGCCUUGAGCGGAGAAUAAGGCUGAGCAGAUGGACAUUGGGCAUUCAUCUGAUCAUUCACCAUUACCAUUUGUCCAUCAGAAAAGAUAAAAUCAAAAGCCAGCGGUUCUGAUACCAAGGCGUUCAAGUCUGGAAAGCAGUUCAGAUAACUGGAACAGGCACAUGUCUGACAAACACCCCAGAGUCGACUCUGGGCCACACUGCAGAGUACUCUGGGCUGCUACCUAUUUGGGAGCAGGAGGAUCAUCAGGAACGGCUUGGCAGGGCCUGGGCAAUGCGCUAUGUGAUGGCCAGACUGAAAACAGUUGAAACAGAUGCCCUCAGCCUUCAGAAUGUGGAGCUCAGCCUGGGACAGAUUACGGCCAGAGAGGUCCUUGAACCUGGUUGGGGUGAGAGCAUCCUGGGCGGUGGUGCGUGGGAGCUUGCUGUCUGAGCCUGAGCCACCUGAGCCACGCCCACCUGCUCUGCCACUACCACGCACACCCGGCCAGCAGGAGUGGCAGAGGGUGGCUAGCUGCUGCCUCCCAUGCCGCGGCUAGAGGAGCCCCCACGGAUGGAGCCGCCCCU
rnacentral:lncRNA from 1 species